rnacentral:tRNA from 2 species
GGAGAGAUGGCUGAGUGGUCGAUAGCAACAGUUUACUAAACUGUCGUCCCUGAAAGGGGACCCAGGGUUCGAAUCCCUGUCUCUCCGCCU